AGAAUCUGUGUAAAUAAGAGUCAGUGCUGCAGAUCAGAUUCUGUUUCAUCAUGAAGGACACACAAACAUCCACAGAUCAAGAGUUUUUCUCCAGGAUGCAGACAUUCAGUGGGAAAUGGGCCAAAAUACAGACCCCUGCUCUAGAGGAACCAAUUAUCACCCACCACAGUCUCACAAAAUCCUGAGGGGACACUGGUUGUCUUAAUGUGUGUGUGUGU